AGUUGAUUAAGUUUUGAUUUAGGAUUAAGAUUUUAUUUAGGAUUUAGGAUUUAAUUAAGAUUUGAUUUAGGAUUAGGAUUUGGUUAGGAUUUGGUUUAGGAUUUAGGAUUUAAUUUAGGAUUAGUUAUGAUUUGAUUUAGGGUUUAGGAUUUGGUUAGGAUUUGAUUUAGGAUUUAGGAUUUUAUUUGAGUUUGUUUAGGAUUUAAGAUUUAAUUAGUUUUUGGCCUAAAGUUUGAAUGAAGUCCAAUAGGAUUUUAAUUAGGAUUAAAUUAAAAUUAAAUUGAGAUAUAUUUGAAAUAUAUUUGUGAUCAUUUUAAUAUCUCUUUAAGAUUUCUUAUUGUUUCUUUAUAAUUCCUUUGAGGUUUCUUUGAAUUUGAUUAAAGAUUGCUUAGCAUUGUUAUGGUCUAAUUAGAAUUUAAUUAGUAUUCUAUUAGAGUUAGGAUUUUUUUGUUGCAAUUUCUAUUCUACCUUCCACAACUAGGUGCCCGGAGCAUUCUCAAGCAAGACUUUAUGUAUUAUGACAACAUACAUCUGCAAAGAUCAAUCUUUUUUCUUUAAAAAUAAGAUAAAAACUCUUGCUACAACUUUCAAAUGGCAUAUGAAGUUCUUAGCUAAGUUCUCAUCAAUGUGUUCUUUUAGUGCAGCCAAUUCAUUUUCUAAUAAGUUGUAGAUCAAUCUGAAUGGUGAUUGAGCUCUUUCUUGUAGAUCAAUUAAACAAUCAUAAGAUCAAUACUUUGGAAGAAUAUC
rnacentral:lncRNA from 1 species